UAUACUUUUCUUCAUGGCAGCGAGAAGUUUUAUACUGUUGGCCUUGCGGCUGCUUGUUGGUCCAUUUGGUUGGCUCGAAAUCGAGCCACUUUCAAGAAAAAGCUGAUUAGAACACCAUUUGAGAUUGUAUUUUCCAUAUGUUUGUUCUUAAUCUAUUGGGCAGGUUUACAAUAAGGAGAUGAUGCUAAGGAGUUUCGUGCGGGCGCCGAACUGGUCAGGGUGAACACUAUGCAACUGAUGAAGAUGUGCGACAUUGUCAGGCAACCGACCAUUGGAGAGUAA
rnacentral:rRNA from 1 species